rnacentral:lncRNA from 1 species
UAAAAUGGUAGUGUUUUGGGAUAUUAUUUUAAAACAUCUUUUCUUUUUUCUUAUUUCUUUUGUCUAUAUAUUUCAGCAACUCAAGUGCCAGUGGCUUAAAACUGGGCAGUUUUUUUUGAGUUCUGUGACAUACAACUUAGCAUGGGAUCCUCAAGAUAAUAGACUGUUGACAGCAACCGAUUCCAUUCAGUUGUGGGCUCCUCCAGGAGAUGAUAUUCUGGAAGAGGAGGAAGAAAUUGAUAAUAAAAUUCCUCCUGUUUUAAAUGAUUGGAAGUGCAUCUGGCAGUGCAAGUUAGUGUCUAUUUCUAUUGUUAUAUUCAUUAAUUAAAAGCAAAUGCUUCCUAAAAUAUGUUUCCUUUCACAAAGAUCUUUAUUUUUUGAUGGUACCAUUGCAUUUAGAAGCCUAAAAAGUAGAUUUUUUUCUAACCAAACCCCGUAUAAUAGCAUUCUUUAAUUUGUGCUAGUUAAUCAUUUAAAAAAAGGAUGAAAGUAUUUUCAUAGUUAUAGCCCCAGGACAGGAGUUGACAGGGUUGAUACAUAGGAAUUACUCAUUAAUAGGUUGAG